rnacentral:rRNA from 1 species
GCAAGUCGAACGGUAAGGCCCUGCUUGCAGGGUACACGAGUGGCGCACGGGUGAGUAACGCGUAUGCAACCUACCUUUAACAGAAGGAUAGCCCCGAGAAAUUGGGAUUAAUACUUCAUGUUAUCCAUUUUUCGCAUGAUUAAUGGAUUAAAGCUCCGGCGGUUAAAGAUGGGCAUGCGUGACAUUAGCUAGUUGGUGAGGUAACAGCUCACCAAGGCAACGAUGUCUAGGGGGUCUGAGAGGAUUAUC